rnacentral:tRNA from 1 species
ACCCGGCUGGCUCAAUCAGAAGAGCAUGUGGCCCUUGAUCUUAGGGUUGUGAGUUCGAAUCCCACGUUGGGCA